GUCCGAUCGCUGGAGUCCGCCCAUCUUCCCGUCAAGGGAAUGGAUGCCGGUGGAAAU
rnacentral:sRNA from 1 species